UGAGUCGACUGGGUGGCCGCGCCGCAGCGAUGCGGUGAGGAAAGUCGGGGCUCCAGCGGGCAGGGUGCUCACGCGAGUGAGUCGCGGUGACGCGAAGGACAGUGCCACAGAAAGCAGACCGCCGGGGCCGGGCGACCGGCGUCGGCAAGGGUGAAACGGUGCGGUAAGAGCGCACCAGCGCCCCGGGCGACCGGGGCGGCUCGGUAAACCCCACCCGGAGCAAGAUCGAACACGGGAGGCCGCCCGCGCGCCUCAUAGAGGCACUCCCGAGGUGGAUCGCAUAGAUGGAUGGCCACCCAUCCCCCCUCGGGGGGUGGACAGAACCCCGCUUACAGGUCGACUCACCGU
rnacentral:RNase_P_RNA from 1 species